UGUACGGUGAUACUUUCUGGUUUGGAUCCACCUUGUUUGCCCCAAAUACGGAUUCAAAACCACAAUCUUAGUAUCAUCGUCUUUUAAGAUGCAUAAUAAUAAACCCUCACAAUGAAAGACUUGAGAUAUCUUGACUUGUUUAGAACCAUGUAGGCAAGUAAGUUUACCUAGAGACUUUAUGGAUAGGUUUUCGUUGACGAUGAUGCCCAUUAAAUAAACGUUGUAAUCCAUCAUCACAAUCAUUCGAUUCUCUCCUAAUUCCCUUGCUGCUUCUUCUUCUUUCCGUAUGUGCAUCUUCUUAAAGCUCUGGCUUUCUA
rnacentral:sRNA from 1 species